rfam:Penicillium roqueforti FM164 genomic scaffold, ProqFM164S01
AUCCUAGUGCAAGGGCUUUACACGUAUCAGUGAGGAGACAUCCGAGAUCGUGUUUUUGCUGGUUGAAAACUACCACCUUGACUGCUUCAAGUGAGCCUUACGGCUUGCUUGGGAAUUUUUGAAACAUGCUUAC